rnacentral:rRNA from 1 species
CGAAGGAUGCAAGCGUUAUCCGGAUUCAUUGGGUUUAAAGGGUGCGUAGGCGGACCUGUAAGUCAGUGGUGAAAUCUCUUUGCUUAACAAAGAAACUGCCAUUGAUACUGCAAGUCUAGAGUAUAGAUGACGUUGGCGGAAUAUGACAUGUAGUGGUGAAAUACUUAGAUAUGUCAUAGAACACCGAUUGCGAAGGCAGCUAACGAAACUAUAACUGACGCUGAGGCACGAAAGUGCGGGGAUCAAACAGGAUUAGAUACCCUGGUAGUCCGCACCGUAAACGAUGAUUACUCGUUGUUGGCAAUAUGACCGUCAGCGACCAAGCGAAAGCGAUAAGUAAUCCACCUGGGGAGUACGCCGGCAACGGUG